UAUCUCUGUAGAGUCUGCAUAUCAAUAAGCGGAGGAAAAGAAACUAACAAGGAUUCCCCUAGUAACGGCGAGUGAAGCGGGAAGAGCUCAAAUUUGAAAUCUUCAAGGUUUUACCUUGACGAAUUGUAGUUUAAAGAAGUGUUUUCGGUUAGAGGAGUAGUAAAAGUUCUUUGGAAUAGGACAUCAUAGAGGGUGAGAAUCCCGUAUUUGACUAUUCUUUCUAGCUUUGUGAUACACUUUCAAAGAGUCGGAUUGUUUGGGAAUGCAGUCCAAAAUGGGUGGUAAAUUUCAUCUAAAGCUAAAUAUUGGCGAGAGACCGAUAGCGAACAAGUACCGUGAGGGAGAGAUGAAAAGAACUUUGAAAAGAGAGUUAAACAGUACGUGAAAUUGUCAAAAGGGAAGCGUUUGACACCAGUGUUGUUUUUCCGAAAAUCAAUUAAAAAUUGAUUCAUGCCAGGUUGUAUUGACCUUAUCAGCUUGCAAUUUGGUUUUGGGUCUCUUUUUGAUGCACUUUUCGGUUAACAAGUCAACAUCAAUUUCCUUUGCUGUAAAAAGGUAAGAGGAAGGUGGCUUCAAUUUCGGUUGAAGUGUUUAUAGCCUUCUAUCUCUGCAGUCGGGGAGAUUGAGGUCUGCAGCGUAGAUCCUUCGGGGCUAGAUACAUUUAUGCUAAGUUAUAGCUUUUCAUAGACAACUUGUUGACUAUGUUUAGUCAUGUAGCUUACUCGUAAGUGCUAUUUUACCUACGCUUAGGAUGUUGAGCGCAUGUCUCUCUCU
rnacentral:rRNA from 1 species